GACGAACGCUGGCGGUAGCCUAACACAUGCAAGUCGAACGGAACUGUUUGAAAGAUUCUUCGGAAUGAAUUUGAUUUAGUUUAGUGGCGGACGGGUGAGUAACGCGUGAGUAACCUGCCUUCAAGAGGGGGAUAACAUUCUGAAAAGAAUGCUAAUACCGCAUGAUAUAUCAGAACCACAUGGUUCUGAUAUCAAAGAUUUUACCGCUUGAAGAUGGACUCGCGUCCGAUUAGUUAGUUGGUGAGGUAACGGCUCACCAAGACCGCGAUCGGUAGCCGGACUGAGAGGUUGAACGGCCACAUUGGGACUGAGACACGGCCCAGACUCCUACGGGAGGCAGCAGUGGGGGAUAUUGCGCAAUGGGGGCAACCCUGACGCAGCAACGCCGCGUGAAGGAUGAAGGUUUUCGGAUUGUAAACUUCUUUUAUUAAGGACGAAACUUGACGGUACCUAAUGAAUAAGCUCCGGCUAGCUACGUGCCAGCAGCCGCGGUAAUACGUAGGGAGCAAGCGUUGUCCGGAUUUACUGGGUGUAAAGGGUGCGUAAGCGGCUUUGCAAGUCAGAUGUGAAAUCUAUGGG
rnacentral:rRNA from 1 species